GAUGAACGCUGGCGGCGUGCCUAAUACAUGCAAGUCGAGCGAACGGACGAGAAGCUUGCUUUUCUGAUGUUAGCGGCGGACGGGUGAGUAACACGUGGAUAACCUACCUAUAAGACUGGGAUAACUUCGGGAAACCGGAGCUAAUACCGGAUAAUAUUUUGAACCGCAUGGUUCAAAAGUGAAAGACGGACUUGCUGUCACUUAUAGAUGGAUCCGCGCUGCAUUAGCUAGUUGGUAAGGUAACGGCUUACCAAGGCAACGAUGCAUAGCCGACCUGGGAGGGUGAUCGGCCACACUGGAACUGAGACACGGUCCAGACUCCUACGGGAGGCAGCAGUAGGGAAUCUUCCGCAAUGGGCGAAAGCCUGACGGAGCAACGCCGCGUGAGUGAUGAAGGUCUUCGGAUCGUAAAACUCUGUUAUUAGGGAAGAACAUAUGUGUAAGUAACUGUGCACAUCUUGACGGUACCUAAUCAGAAAGCCACGGCUAACUACGUG
rnacentral:rRNA from 1 species